GGAAUCCUGGAGAGAUUUGGGAGUGCUCGCAAGAGAGCCGGAACACAGGUGCUGCAUGGCUGUCGUCAGCUCGUGUCGUGAGAUGUUGGGUUAAGUCCCGCAACGAGCGCAACCCUUAUCAUUAGUUGCCAUCAUUCAGUUGGGCACUCUAAUGAGACUGCCGGUGACAAACCGGAGGAAGGUGGGGAUGACGUCAAGUCCUCAUGGCCCUUAUGGGUAGGGCUUCACACGUCAUACAAUGGUCGGUACAGAGGGUUGCCAACCCGCGAGGGGGAGCCAAUCUCACAAAGCCGAUCGUAGUCCGGAUCGCAGUCUGCAACUCGACUGCGUGAAGUCGGAAUCGCUAGUAAUCGUGGAUCAGCAUGUCACGGUGAAUACGUUCCCGGGUCUUGUACACACCGCCCGUCACACCAUGGGAGUGGGUUCACCAGAAGUAGGUAGUCUAACCGCAAGGAGGGCGCUUACCACGGUGGGGUUCAUGACUGGGGUGAAGUCGUAACAAGGUAGCCGUAGGGGAACCUGCGGCUGGAUCACCUCCUUUCUG
rnacentral:rRNA from 1 species